GCUGUUACUUGAUUUGGUUUUGUUUUUGGACUAAUGGUAUACAUAGAUUGCUAGUCUAGGAAGCCCAUUAGUGUACUUAUAAGAGCUGUUACAUGAUUUGGUUUUGUUUUUGGACUAAUAGUGUCCAUAGGUUGCUAGUUUAAGAAACCCAUUAGUGUAUUCACAAGAGCUGUCACUUGAUUUUGUUUUGU